UGCCUACACAUGCAAUUCGAGCGAGAACCGGGCCUUCGGGCUCGGUUCACAGCGGCGAACGGGUGAGUAGCACGUGGGCAACCUGCCCUCGGCACUGGGAUAACCCGGGGAAACCCGGAUUAAUACCGGAUAGCCUCCGGAGCCUUCGGGCGCCGGAAGAAAGGUGGCUUCGGCAUCCGGCCGAGGAGGGGCCCGCGGCGGAUUAGCUUGUUGGUGGGGUAACGGCCUACCAAGGCGACGAUCCGUAGCUGGUCUGAGAGGACGAUCAGCCACACUGGGACUGAGACACGGCCCAGACUCCUACGGGAGGCAGCAGUGGGGAAUCUUGCGCAAUGGGCGAAAGCCUGACGCAGCGACGCCGCGUGCGGGAAGAAGGCCUUCGGGUUGUAAACCGCUUUCAGGAGGGACGAAGCCACUCGGGUGAACAGCCCAGAGGGUGACGGUACCUCCAGAGGAAGCCCCGGCUAACUACGUGCCAGCAGCCGCGGUAAUACGUAGGGGGCGAGCGUUGUUCGGAUUUACUGGGCGUAAAGAGCGCGUAGGCGGUUCGAUCAGUCCGAGGUGAAAUCCCUCGGCUCAACCGAGGAACCGCGUCCGAUACUGUCGAACUUGAGUGCAAGAAAGGAAAGCGGAAUUCCCAGUGUAGCGGUGAAUGCGUAGAUAUUGGGAGGAACACGGUGGCGAAAGCGGCUCUCUG
rnacentral:rRNA from 1 species